GAUGUUGGGUUAAGUCCCGCAACGAGCGCAACCCUUUUCCUUAUUUGCCAGCGGGUUAAGCCGGGAACUUUAAGGAUACUGCCAGUGACAAACUGGAGGAAGGCGGGGACGACGUCAAGUCAUCAUGGCCCUUACGGCCAGGGCUACACACGUACUACAAUGGUCGUCAACAGAGGGAAGCAAGGCCGCGAGGUGGAGCGAACCCCUAAAAACGAUCUCAGUUCAGAUUGCAGGCUGCAACUCGCCUG
rnacentral:rRNA from 1 species